GGAAGUAAAAGUCGUAACAAGAGCUCCGUUGGUGAACCAGCGGAGGGAUCAUUACAGAGUUGCAAAACUCCCAAACCAUUGUGAACGUUACCUAUCCCGUUGCUUCGGCGGGCGGCCCGGGCCCCGCGCCCGGCGCCCCCCGGCCCCCCGUGGGCGCCCGCCGGAGGUAAACCAAACCCUUGAAUUGCAUGGCCUCUCUGAGUCUUCUGUACUGAAUAAGUCAAAACUUUCAACAACGGAUCUCUUGGUUCUG
rnacentral:misc_RNA from 1 species